rnacentral:tRNA from 1 species
GCUGCGGUGUCCGAGUGGUUAAGGAGUUGGACUUGAAAUCCAAUGGGCUCUGCCCGCACAGGUUCGAAUCCUGUCCGCAGCG